GCGACGUGGCCAAGUGGUAAGGCGCGGGUCUGCAAAACCCUUAUCACCGGUUCAAAUCCGGUCGUCGC
rnacentral:tRNA from 1 species